GAUGAAGAACGUAGCGAAAUGCGAUAAGUAAUGUGAAUUGCAGAAUUCAGUGAAUCAUCGAAUCUUUGAACGCACAUUGCGCCCUCUGGUAUCCCGGGGGGCAUGCCUGUUCGAGCGUCAUUACAACCCUCAAGCUUUGCUUGGUAUUGGACAUUGCCAGUUUCUGGCAGGUCUUAAAAUCAGUGGCGGUGCCAUUUGGCUUCAAGCGUAGUAAUUCUUCUCGCUUUGGAGAUCCAAGUGGUUACUUGCCAAUAACCCCCAAUUUUUUCAGGUUGACCUCGGAUCAGGUAGGGAUACCCGCUGAACUUAAGCAUAUCAAUAAGCGGAGGA
rnacentral:misc_RNA from 1 species